rnacentral:rRNA from 1 species
GAUGAACGCUGGCGGCGUGCCUAACACAUGCAAGUCGAGCGAUUUACUUCGGUAAAGAGCGGCGGACGGGUGAGUAACGCGUGGGUAACCUGCCCUGUACACACGGAUAACAUACCGAAAGGUAUGCUAAUACGAGAUAAUAUGCUUUUAUCGCAUGGUAGAAGCAUCAAAGCUUUUGCGGCACAGGAUGGACCCGCGUCUGAUUAGCUAGUUGGUAAGGUAACGGCUUACCAAGGCGACGAUCAGUAGCCGACCUGAGAGGGUGAUCGGCCACAUUGGAACUGAGACACGGUCCAAACUCCUACGGGAGGCAGCAGUGGGGAAUAUUGCACAAUGGGCGAAAGCCUGAUGCAGCAACGCCGCGUGAGCGAUGAAGGCCUUCGGGUCGUAAAGCUCUGUCCUCAAGGAAGAUAAUGACGGUACUUGAGGAGGAAGCCCCGGCUAACUACGUGCCAGCCGCCGCCGUAAGAC